rnacentral:lncRNA from 1 species
UUCAAUAUACACAAUGUGUGUUAACAACAACUGGGUUGAACAACACCUUUGAGCAUUGGUGGUUAUAAGAGAUGUCUUUAACUCUAGUCUUCAUAAGGAAGGAAAACACACAUCUCUUUAUUUAAAUGUCUCCUUGUGUGACAAAUCUGUUUCCGUGGUGGUUUCUAUCUAGUGUAACCUGGAUCUAGUACUCAGAACCUAAUGACGUGAAUAGCAAAUACCAAGAUAACUCUUAGCUGGAAAGGCUGAUCACAUGAUUUCUGAAGAUAACUCCGUAUACACAAUGCAUUUCUUUCCAAGUGUGUAUGAAUAAGUUUGCUGUAUGAUAAAUAACUUGCUCAAAUCGAUUGGCUGCUUUCCACUACUCCUUCUUUGACUUAACUUCCAGUUACUUCUCAUGGAUGAGAGAAGUCAGAGAUGUACUCACAACAAACAAUGUGUUUAAUAAAAUCAUCUAAAAUGAUUGAUCUGGUCACUGCCAGACAUUGCUGGCUGAUACUAUCAUCAAACAUUUCCAUCUGAAUUCUUACCUUACAGACUGAAAUGAGUUUGCUCAUUUCUAAAGACCCUCUACUUGGCAAUGAGAUAUAUGGUCUCUUAGUGGUUAAAUAUAGAACGUAAAAUUAAAAGGAAUGUUAACUUUGCAUUUAUUCAAAAAGUAAGAAGUGGUCAGGUGUCUUUUUUUUUUUUUAAUGACCUUUUUAAAACAAGAAUCAGUUUCAUGUUCAUGAGUUCUUAUCUGAGUCUUUCUGCCUGUGUGCUGGUUCUUGAGUCACUUGGGAUCCUGGGUUGUUCUGUGGAUGUUUGUCCAAGUGAGAUUUUUCUAGUUUGCCCUACUUUCUUCCUGUUCCGAUUCCUAGUCACAGUCUUUUUCCUGCCUGGCACAUGAACAUCAGAACUGCCUAAUUCUAAUGUAACUGUCCUGAUUAAAGAUAAGUGCUCUUUAAACAAGAUGCUCUGAUGAUCUCCAAUCCUAAAAUUUCACAUUAAAAAAGGAUAUAUAAAAAAUAUCAUAUGUAGAAGCUUGAUUUCUCAGACCAACAAAGGGUUAGUGAAAAGACCAGAGGCACUUCUGCACUUGCCAGCUGUAGAUGACAAAAUUCCUACCCUCCUCCUCCUCCUCCUCCUCCUCUUCCUCCUCCUCUGUCAUUUGCCAUCUUUGAUCCUCUCUAAUGAUGAAAGGAUAAAUGGGGGAUGAUAAAAUCCAAGAGCAGAAAAAUCAGUUAGAUAGAAUAUGCCCUUUUAUUAACACCUUUUAUUAAAAUCUUUCUCAGCACUCAACUCUUCCAGCUUUCUGAAACCUAACCUCUUACUAUUAGAAUCACAGAAUAAUUCUGUUUCAUAUAGUCAUUGGAAGAAUGCAAUGCAUGUAAAUUUCCUCUUGUGUUUUGAUGACCUAUUAUUUCCAUUGCUUUCUAUUUUUAGUGGUGUUGGUUUUAUUAUUCUGAACUUCUGCUAUCCAUAGUUUUAUGUUUGUACAGGAAUUCAUUAUAUCCAUUCUCCAAAGCACCUCUUGGUAAAUUAGUUUGGGGGAUGGAUAAGAUGAAAAACUAGUAACCAAAUUAUAUCAGUGAAGAUACAGUCAUUUCCACAAUCUUGCCAUAGUAAGGCUUCAUUUGUUAGCAGAGUAGUCCAAGGAGAAGUCUAAGAUGACCAAAACAUUUCUGCUUAAAGGAGCUUUAUCUAUUGGUUGUUUUGAAUCUCUAAAAGCUAUUGUUUUCCAAAAUUAUUUGGGCAAGGAUCACCCUCUGUUUAAGGAGACCCUUUAGCCAGAAUGAAGCCAGAUGGAUUCCAAAUCAGUAGAGAUGGGUGCAAGAGAAGGCUGACUCAGACCUUCCAACUAUCUUCUUAGUCCUUGAGCAUUUAUAAUUGAGGCAGGAAAAACAGAAAACUUCAGAACACGUGGUAAAUGGCAAGAAUAGAAAAAUGAUGCUCCUCAAUGACAGGGCUUUCAAAAACAGGAACAAGAUAACAUGAGGGAAGCCAUAGUUGUGGUGGAUACCAUCUUUUCCUCCAGAGAAGUGACACACAUAAAAGAUCCAUUCAUUCUGAAACUAUGCUGCCAGUCACAAGGAAAACAGUGCCCUUCACGAAGGCUAAAACACCAGAGGAUGUACCAACCUUUUAUAGUGUAUUAUAUAAACAAAACAUGGAUCAAUCUACUCUAUCACAAUGCACAAAUGAAAUAAAUUAAUUGAUAAUAAUGAAAUGAAACUAUUUUACAUAAAACCAGUUUUGUUUUCAAAAAUUAAUACAAUGGAAUUUUUUCAAGCUUUAUCCUACAAGGGUUUUUGGUUUUCUGAAUAUCUAAAGACACGUUUUACAAAUAGUAUAUCAUUUAAAGUUCUGGAUACAUGUAUACAUGUAUAAAGUAUGUGGAAUAUUUUAUAGCUGUAUUAUUUUUAUUGUUGUGGCCAAAAUCCUGACAAAAGGUGAUUUCAGAGAGGGACGAAUUAUCUUGGGUCAAAAUUUGUUGCUACUGGCCGUGACUUCAAAGAAAGUGUGUGGAGAGGAAUAGCUAAAAGCUGUGGAAGUGGGAGCUUAACCACUCCUAGAGAGACUAGUAAGCAAAGGAGAAGCAGUACUGUGCUCAGCCCCCUUUUCCUUGUCCCCUUUAAACUCAGCCCAUGACUCUAUCUUAUGAGAUGGUGCAAGCCCAGCCAUUCAGGAUGGGUCUUUAUUCUCAGUUGAACUGUUCUGGAAACACCCCCAUAAGUGUGCCCAGAGGGGAGUCUCCUGGGCAAUUCUAAAUCCGACAGACUGACGCUGAUGUGUAACCAGCUCAGCCACCAUAAAGAAAUGUGUUUAGAAAACCAAAAACAAACAAUGAACCAGUUCUAUCAUUUGCUAAGGUUCAUUCUAAUGCCAGUUUACAAAGAGAAGCAGGUGAGUGUGCUCAGCUUGUUUUAUGAUGCUGAGAGACAAGAUUAAUACAGAAAGUUGGUGGUUUGCAAUGAAACAGCGAUUGAAAGGUCCAGCUGAAGGCUCUGGCCUCAGGGGUCCUGGAUGUCCUACUGUCACAAACCUACAAACCCCUCUCAUCCCUGAAAAAACCUGGUGACUUCCCAACAAUCAGAAACGUUAGGAAGUUUUAAUACCUGUUUGUAAAUACUUUGAAAUACUCAGGAAAGUAUAAACAGAAAAUUAUAUGCUGCGCUUUCCACAAAAAAAAAAAAAAAAAAAAAGACUCUGUAAAUUACGACUUAAAUGUGCAUAUCUUGUCUUUGGCUACAUCAAAAAGUCAGGCAUCAGGCAUGCUCAAUUGGAGAUUCAACUGUAUGUUCUCUCUACCAAAUAUUUGGAAAUGUGAAUCUUCUUCUUCCAUGUUUUUUAAAUCUAAUUAAAGUACUAGAUUACAUCUUCUUUUUUAAUUUUACCAUACCACGUGCUUUUUUCA